ACCUGAAGAACUGCAGCCUACUUG
rnacentral:siRNA from 1 species